GCCCAGGCAGUAACACGCUGGUAGAUCCCUCUUAGAAAGGUUUUUUUUUUCCUUGUCAGCAACUUUGCACCUGGCAACUUAGAGCUCUUUUAGACUCUUAUCCCUGGUGCUCUCAUCUCUUAAAACAGGGAAAUUCCAUUGAUUCCUAAAGAAGUCCCAGGAAGAAAAUGCAGUUUAGUAGUCUGUCUGGACUUCUCAAGGCGAUGAUUGAUGGACCCCACCCUGAACACCUGUGGAUCUGGAGCGAGAGUGAGACGGUGCAUCUAUAAAUGUCUGCUGGCCACACUCAUGCUGCUGUUCUGGGACCCUGCUUUGAGAAGCAUUGGCUUGCGACUGCGAUUUUCAACCCUGACUCAACACCAGCCUCAUUAAACAUUAAAUAUAGAGAGGACGAACAAUGACUCAGAAUCUCUGCAGGUGCGGUAACAUCGUGGAGCUUCUCUGCUGAACAAGAACUAAGUUCGUGGACAAGGGAUGUUCCAGCACAAGGGCACUUUCCCUCAAGAGGAAGAAACAUUCAAAAGGCUAUCAAAGAGACAGAAACCAGUCCUUCAUCCGAUUCUAA